UGUUGAAGCACUGGUAUCCAUAUGAUCUCCAAAGUUAAGCAAUGUCGAACCUAGUCAGAACUUAGAUGAGUGACUGCAUGGGAAAAUGAGGUGCUGUAAU